UUUUUUUUUAAUGUUGACACAGUGAUGUCCAAACGCAGCUUUUUCCAAAGAGCAGUACCACAGUAAGUGAAGACACCAGACCUGGAUCUGAUUCUGGGAACAGCUUGAAGACCUCUGCCUGAUGACCUGAGAGGCCUGAUGAUCAAUGAUCAAUGACACAGAUCAAUCUGAAUGGAGGGAACUUCUGCAAUCUCCGGUGUCUUCGUGGACUCCUCGUCUGACAAUUUCUUCUGUACUGAGGCCGCUGUGAGGUCUCACGCAGUCAGCAAGUAAAUUACUUUACUUGCUGACUGCGUGAGACAAUUUCGUAACCAACCUACAAGUUUAAUUUAAAAAGUAAGAGUGAAAACCCCCACACCUGCAGAAGUGACUCAAAUGUUAGUAAAGUAACUUGUAGUUUGACCAUGAAGUGACCAAAACAUUAUUACCACAGAAUCUGAAAUUCAAAAGGCAGCUGGUGAAGAACGGACUGUUUGUGUUCUCCUGGAAUUAUUUAGAUAAAGUCAGUCAAUAUA